CCUACGGGUGGCAGCAGUGAGGAAUAUUGGUCAAUGGACGCAAGCCUGAACCAGCCAAGUAGCGUGCAGGAUGACGGCCCUCCGGGUUGUAAACUGCUUUUAGUUGGGAAUAAAAGGGGGCUCGUGAGCCCCGUAUUGUAUGUACCAUCAGAAAAAGGACCGGCUAAUUCCGUGCCAGCAGCCGCGGUAAUACGGAAGGUCCGGGCGUUAUCCGGAUUUAUUGGGUUUAAAGGGCGCGUAGAUGGGUUGUUAAGUCAGGUGUGAAAGUUUGCGGCUCAACCGUAAAAUUGCAAUUGAUACUGGCAGGCUUGAGUACAGUUGAGGUAGGCGGAAUUCGUGGUGUAGCGGUGAAAUGCUUAGAUAUCACGAAGAACCCCGAUUGGGAAGGCAGCUUACUAAACUGUGACUGACAUUGAUGCUCGAAAGUGUGGGUAUCAAACAGGAUUAGAUACCCGAGUAGUC
rnacentral:rRNA from 1 species